UACGUAGGGUGCAAGCGUUACUCGGAAUUACUGGGCGUAAAGCGCGCGUAGGCGGCUUUGCAAGUCGGGCGUGAAAUCCCCAGGCUUAACCUGGGAACUGCAUUCGAGACUGCAUUGCUAGAGUAUGGGAGAGGGAAGUGGAAUUUCCGGUGUAGCGGUGAAAUGCGUAGAUAUCGGAAGGAACAUCAGUGGCGAAAGCGACUUCCUGGACCAAUACUGACGCUCAUGUGCGAAAGCGUGGGGAGCAAACAGG
rnacentral:rRNA from 1 species